rnacentral:rRNA from 1 species
UACGUAGGGUGCGAGCGUUAAUCGGAAUUACUGGGCGUAAAGUGUGCGCAGGCGGCCGCGCAAGUCGAGUGUGAAAAGCCCCCGAGCUUAAACUUGGGGAAUUUGCGCUCGAAAACUACGUGGCUGGAGUGUGGCAGAGGAAAGGUGGAAUUCCACGUGUAGCGGUGAAAAUGCGUAGAGAUUUUGGAGGAACACCAGUGGCGAAGGCGACUUUCUGGUCUGUAAACUGACGCUGAGGGCGCGAAAAGCGUGGGGGGAGCAAAACAGG